rnacentral:rRNA from 1 species
CAAUAGCGUAUAUUUAAGUUGUUGCAGUUAAAAAGCUCGUAGUUGGAUUUCGGGUGGGACGCAGCGGUCUCGCAUUGCGUUUGUACUGCUGCAGCCCUCCUUCUUGCCGGGGGCGGCCUCUCGGACUUCACUGUCUGGGGGUCAGAAUCGGCGAUGUUACUUUGAGUAAAUUAGAGUGUUCAAAGCAAGCUUACGCUCUGAAUAUAAUAGCAUGGGAUAACACGACAGGACUCUGGCCUAUCGUGUUGGUCUAUAGGACCAGAGUAAUGAUUAAGAGGGACAGUCGGGGGCAAUCGUAUUCCGUUGUCAGAGGUGAAAUUCUUGGAUUUACGGAAGACGAACAUCUGCGAAAGCAUUUGCCAAGGAUGUUUNCAUUGA